rnacentral:rRNA from 1 species
UUAAGCGACCAAGCGUACACGGUGGAUGCCCUGGCAGUCAGAGGCGAUGAAGGACGUGCUAAUCUGCGAAAAGCGCCGGCGAGGUGAUAUGAACCCUUGACCCGGCGAUGUCCGAAUGGGGAAACCCAGUGUGACCUGUCACACUAUCGUUAGCUGAAUACAUAGGCUAACGAGGCGAACCGGGGGAACUGAAACAUCUAAGUACCCCGAGGAAAAGAAAUCAACCGAGAUUCCCCCAGUAGCGGCGAGCGAACGGGGAGGAGCCCAGAGCCUGAAUCAGCUUGUGUGUUAGUGGAAGCGUCUGGAAAGUCGCACGGUACAGGGUGAAAGUCCCGUACACGAAAAUGCACAGGCUGUGAGCUCGAUGAGUAGGGCGGGACACGUGGUAUCCUGUCUGAAUAUGGGGGGACCAUCCUCCAAGGCUAAAUACUCCUGACUGACCGAUAGUGAACCAGUACCGUGAGGGAAAGGCGAAAAGAACCCCGGCGAGGGGAGUGAAAAAGAACCUGAAACCGUGUACGUACAAGCAGUGGGAGCCUCUUUUAUGGGGUGACUGCGUACCUUUUGUAUAAUGGGUCAGCGACUUAUAUUCUGUAGCAAGGUUAACCGUAUAGGGGAGCCGAAGGGAAACCGAGUCUUAACUGGGCGUUAAGUUGCAGGGUAUAGACCCGAAACCCGGUGAUCUAGCCAUGGGCAGGUUGAAGGUUGGGUAACACUAACUGGAGGACCGAACCGACUAAUGUUGAAAAAUUAGCGGAUGACCUGUGGCUGGGGGUGAAAGGCCAAUCAAACCGGGAGAUAGCUGGUUCUCCCCGAAAGCUAUUUAGGUAGCGCCUCGUGAAUUCAUCUCCGGGGGUAGAGCACUGUUUCGGCUAGGGGGCCAUCCCGGCUUACCAACCCGAUGCAAACUGCGAAUACCGGAGAAUGUUAUCACGGGAGACACACGGCGGGUGCUAACGUCCGUCGUGAAGAGGGAAACAACCCAGACCGCCAGCUAAGGUCCCAAAGUCAUGGUUAAGUGGGAAACGAUGUGGGAAGGCCCAGACAGCCAGGAUGUUGGCUUAGAAGCAGCCAUCAUUUAAAGAAAGCGUAAUAGCUCACUGGUCGAGUCGGCCUGCGCGGAAGAUGUAACGGGGCUAAACCAUGCACCGAAGCUGCGGCAGCGACACUAUGUGUUGUUGGGUAGGGGAGCGUUCUGUAAGCCGUUGAAGGUGUGCUGUGAGGCAUGCUGGAGGUAUCAGAAGUGCGAAUGCUGACAUAAGUAACGAUAAAGCGGGUGAAAAGCCCGCUCGCCGGAAGACCAAGGGUUCCUGUCCAACGUUAAUCGGGGCAGGGUGAGUCGACCCCUAAGGCGAGGCCGAAAGGCGUAGUCGAUGGGAAACAGGUUAAUAUUCCUGUACUUGGUGUUACUGCGAAGGGGGGACGGAGAAGGCUAUGUCGGCCGGGCGACGGUUGUCCCGGUUUAAGCGUGUAGGUGUGUGCUCCAGGCAAAUCCGGUGCACUUUAACACUGAGGCGUGAUGACGAGGCACUACGGUGCUGAAGUGACAAAUGCCCUGCUUCCAGGAAAAGCCUCUAAGCAUCAGGUAACAUCAAAUCGUACCCCAAACCGACACAGGUGGUCAGGUAGAGAAUACCAAGGCGCUUGAGAGAACUCGGGUGAAGGAACUAGGCAAAAUGGUGCCGUAACUUCGGGAGAAGGCACGCUGAUAUGUAGGUGAAGUGAUUUACUCAUGGAGCUGAAAUCAGUCGAAGAUACCAGCUGGCUGCAACUGUUUAUUAAAAACACAGCACUGUGCAAACACGAAAGUGGACGUAUACGGUGUGACGCCUGCCCGGUGCCGGAAGGUUAAUUGAUGGGGUUAUCCCUCGGGAGAAGCUCUUGAUCGAAGCCCCGGUAAACGGCGGCCGUAACUAUAACGGUCCUAAGGUAGCGAAAUUCCUUGUCGGGUAAGUUCCGACC